rnacentral:miRNA from 1 species
AGGUGUAUGUACAAUAUGUAUCAGAGAGAUGUCUGCUACUCUGCUAUUAGAGCAGAGUAGCAGACAUCUCUCUGAUACAUAUUGUACAUACACCUC